AUUAGAGAGGCUCAAAGUCCCACUUCUGCUGCAGAAGAAAAUAAGAGUCCCUGUUUUCUCAGAUCUGUCCAAAACUUUCUGUGAGUGCAGCUCACAGACCCAAGGGCCUCUAGACGCCCCCACCCAGAACUGCUGAGUGAAUGGUCAAGGCUUCCUUAGAUAGUCCUGGCUUGUGAACCAUUGACUUGUAUAGACUUAGAUAUUUUAUACAUUAUUUAAAGUUCAUGAAGGCACCAUGUUUGAAGCAUAUUUAGACAUUGCUUUUAAAGAAAAAUAGCUUUAAUGGUGCACCUGAGAGUGACAUAAGCAUAACCAUAUUAUCUUUUAAAUGGAAUUUUCCCCCUUCAUUUUUAUUUUUGAGAUAGGAUCUUGCAAUAUUCUCCAGACUGGGGACCUCUGGGCUCAAGCAAUCCUCCUACCUCGGCCUCUGGAGUAGCUGGGACUACAGGCACCACCAUGCCUGGCUUCCCUGUCAUUUUUAUCUCAAUUGUUUAGAAGUUUAAUGGGAAUGAAAGAAGAGGGUCUUAGAAAUAUUUAGGUGAUUGUUUAAAAACUUCCAAAGACCCUACUUCCACGGACACUCGUAUUAUUCAUUUUAAUUUUUUUUAAGAUGGAAAGAGUGUUUCAAGGAAGUGAAGUGAUGGUCACAGGGGAAGCAUGAAGAGGAUGGAGAGAAGGUGGGUGAGGCCCAGUGAGUGUCAGAAACUCAGACCUCAUGGGUCACUGUGGAGUGGAGGGCCCACACAUUUCUUCAGCACCAAUCCUGUUUUCAGGGAGACCCUCUAUCUGGGGAGGAGCCCCCCUGACCUGCCUGUUCUGGAAAACAAGGACCCUUCACACUUAUCAGGCAGCUUACACAUCCGCUUCACCCCAGCACUAAGGAGCAAGGCUCAGGGCCUGAGGCCAUUUCAUCAACAUGCUUAGUUUAAUUUAAAGAAUAAUAAAGGAGCAGGCUUGGAGUGGAAAACCUGCACAUGAAGGUUCAGACCAAGAUAACUGUUUCCUUCCGAAGGCUCAAUUUCUGUUUGUAGCUGUGUUUGUUUAGUGCCUUUGGAGGAAUUCCUCACUAGAGUCCUUAAACUGAAGCUGCCGACUCGGACCACUCUAUGCUUCAGCAGCAGGACUUGUUUUAGGCUUGCAAGAUGGAAACAGGUGCAAAAGAUAGCAGAGAACGACCACAUGGUUACAAGCAUGCUUUUUCCUCCAAUUCUUCCCUGUAAACUUGGAUUCUGACAUCCAGGAGACACCAAGGGAACAAACUGGAUAAUUGGAACUACACCACAGGCCUAGUGGUUUUAAAGGCCAAUUUCUGUGGCUUCAAAUUCCAAAGGAAUGGGUGGGAAGUCAGAGAGGACCUGGAAGCCAAGGAUAGUGCAAGUUCCGAGUGGGGGCCUCAUCCAUGCUCAUGAGUGGGUGGUCAGAGUGGACCCAGAAGCCAAGGAUAGUCACAAAGUCAACAGAGAAAAGGGAGGCGACGCAGGAGGGACUCAGAUGUUUCUCAGCACGUCUUUAAAGAAAUGAAGACACCCCAAGGGUCCUGCCCAGACCUCUCCUGGCUGGAAUCAAGGUCCUGAUGGAGAUCAUCAUGGAAAAUGCAGCCAGCACUUGUGCCCCAUGGGGCUGGGCUGGGGGAACAAGGACUUCAGCCCUCCAGUGGGGGAGGCUGAGUAUGUGCAGGGCGGACGUGGCUGGGUGGCCUCUGCCCGGGACGGAUGGGCUGCAAUGUGGACUCUGCCUGGCUUGGACACUCCCACACCCACUCCAGUGGCUCAGCCUUCCCGGACUGGCUUCUGUUAAUCUGUUUCCCAUUCUUUUCCUUUUAAAUUGAAUCAGGCCUGAGAGGAUAAACACUUCCAAGUGAAAUAAAUCUUGGUAUUUGAGGGCUAUUAGGCUUUUCACCUGCUUCUUCAAAAAGUCUCUACAAAAACAAAAACAGAAACCCAUGGAGGCUGGUUAGGGGAAGCAGCACUUUAAUUUCAGGGCGGUGCUGAUAGCUGGGCCAUCGAUCUGCAGGGGCAGGGGAUGGGCCAAGGCCUCGGCGGGGGUUCUCUGUGGCUUGGGCCGGCGGUUAAAUGAAAUGAAUGGCUCGGUCAUAAACUGGUUGGAAUGAAUCAAUUGAGUCGAACAAGGACAGGAUCAUGUGCUGGGAGAGUGAGAACCAAAUAGGUUUGAAGGAAGCAUACCUUGAAAACUACAGCUGCCGCAAGCUCUUGCAAUCAGGAAACUGAUGAGCAGUUAAUUUGUGUGAAAGUAGGGGAAGGUCUAAUGGUGGUUGCGUGAUAAGAAACAAGGCUGUGGAUUGCUGAUGGAGCCCAUCAAUCUUCCAGGAGUAGCCGAACGUUCCCUCGUCACAUGAGUAAGGAAACGUACGGGACUGUGAACCCGCUGGGCUUCCGGCACACAAUUAGCUGAUGCCAUGGUGCACCCUGGCUUGUCUCUCUCUGCAAGCAUUAUUUUGCUAAUUAAGUUGUAGACACUUUAAGGUCAAAGGCUCUGUCUUAGACCGUUUUAUGUGGUGGGCACAAGAAUAAUAUGAUAUCACUUAUGUUAAUUAAGGAUACUAUUAUAAGUAUCAUAUUAACAUUAACAAAUGUUUAUUGUUGAUUUCUCUAGCAAAUGAUCAUUCCA
rnacentral:lncRNA from 1 species